rnacentral:rRNA from 1 species
UACGGAGGAUCCGAGCGUUAUCCGGAUUUAUUGGGUUUAAAGGGUGCGCAGGCGGGAUGUUAAGUCGGCGGUGAAAUUUUGCAGCUCAACUGUAAAAGUGCCUUCGAUACUGGCUUUCUUGAGUGUGGAUGAAGUAGGCGGAAUUUGUGGUGUAGCGGUGAAAUGCUUAGAUAUCACGAGGAACUCCGAUUGCGCAGGCAGCUUACUAAACCACUACUGACGCUCAUGCACGAAGGCGUGGGGAUCAAACAGGAUUAGAUACCCCCGUAGUCCC